AGUGAACGCUGGCGGUAGGCCUAACACAUGCAAGUCGAACGGCAGCACAGUAAGAGCUUGCUCUUACGGGUGGCGAGUGGCGGAUGGGUGAGGAAUACAUCGGAAUCUACUUUUUCGUGAGGGAUAACGUAGGGAAACUUACGCUAAUACCGCAUACGACCUACGGGUGAAAGCAGGGGAUCUUCGGACCUUGCGCGAUUGAAUGAGCCGAUGUCGGAUUAGCUAGUUGGCGGGGUAAAGGCCCACCAAGGCGACGAUCCGUAGCUGGUCUGAGAGGAUGAUCAGCCACACUGGAACUGAGACACGGUCCAGACUCCUACGGGAGGCAGCAGUGGGGAAUAUUGGACAAUGGGCGCAAGCCUGAUCCAGCCAUACCGCGUGGGUGAAGAAGGCCUUCGGGUUGUAAAGCCCUUUUGUUGGGAAAGAAAAGCAGCAGGUUAAUACCCCGCUGUUCUGACGGUACCCAAAGAAUAAGCACCGGCUAACUUCGUG
rnacentral:rRNA from 1 species